rnacentral:lncRNA from 1 species
CCACGCUCGGGCCCCUGGAGUUUUCCAGGGACACUGGGACAAGCAGCAGAUGUGGAUCCAGGUGGCUUGGCGUCACGUUUUUCUAAUUGAAAAUUUUAGACAAAUAAUUGCAGAUUCAUAAAAAAUAACACUGACCUCAUGUGCCCUUUACAGUGAUCUCAUCUUACAAAAUCUGAAACACAUCAUGGCCAGGAUAUGGCACCCAUCUGGCUUCAUUUGUCACCAGGAUGCUGUUCUGCCACAUGGGCUGAUGUGGUGUUUUUGCAAGAAGGAUAUUUCUGACCCAGCUCCGAAUCUGAGGUCCAUCUGUCCAGUUUUACUGAUCCCUGAUACACUUUAGAAAACCUGUAGUAAGGCUGGAUAAGACUGAAUGUCCUAUCCGGGGCCUAGUCACUUGUCACCUGAGGCAGGAUGUAUGUCACAGAAUGGCUGCAACUGUACCAUCUAUCUUCCAUACACUUCUUACAGUAUGACCCUGACUCCAACUUAUCCAUUAAGAUGAGGGGUCUACUGUCCUCCAUUCAAGUGGGCUUGUCACUAGAGGGGGAAUGAUGCUGUGUGAUGCCUGAAAAUAAGCCAGAAUGGUGGUGAAGCUUCCUCUGGUUCUUUUUUUGUUUGUCUUGGGGUUUUUUUGGUACCAGGGAUCGAACUCGGGUCCUUGGGCUUGCGCAGUAGGCGGCGAAACUGCUGAACUAAAUCCCCGGGCCUCCUCUGGAUCUUUUUAGGAUGCUUGUCCUGGAACCCUGCUCCCACAGGUAAGGAUGCCGGACUCGCCCUCGUGGACAAGCCCCGUGGAGGUGCUGUGGAAAGCGACCAGCUCAGCCCACAGAAAGCCCGCAGCCACUGCCAGUCACCAACCGGAAGACGAUCCUGCAUCCUGCAGCCGUUUGCUGAGCACCUACUGUAUGCUAAGGAUGCUGGGAAAGAACGGUGAGGAAACCUGGGUGCAGCCCGCGCCCUCCUGGCACCGCCUGGCCGGGAGGGAAAGAUAAUCAGAGCCCUGCUUUGCUCAGGCCCGGAUUUGUUUUUGUUUCCCUUUGGGCUUUGAUGCUAUCGCCAGAGGAAUUAGCCCGGAGUCCAGGCUGGCUGAGCCGGUUCCUGCUGCCGGCGGAAUUAGCUGGUCAGAGGGUCCGAUCCGUAGACGAAGGGCGUCGAGUCGGCGCUAGGCUGUCCACCUCUCUGCUUGCCUCGUCCUCUGGUCUCGUCUGGUCGGCGGCGAUGCUCCUCCCAGCGGGAUCAGGUGUGCAGAUGUCUUGGUCGGUAGUCAGAUCAGCAGAUAGUCAGGUCAGCAGAUUGACUGGUCGACUGGUCGGUGGGACGGAUCGUCGACUUGCUUGAGGUCUUCAGCUCCUUUUAUACUAUUCUAACUGGGCGUUCGUGGUAUUGGUUCAGACUUAUCACACUGUCCAUUUCGGGGUACACCCUGUCCAGUUCAGUGUACGCCCUGUCCAGUUCAGGGCACACCCUUAUCAGUUCCAUACCGCUUAAGGUUCUACUUUCAUAUCUCAUGGUUACACAUCAUUAUGUUAUACUUAGGUUACAGCACUCUUAAAGUCACAGGACACUUUAGGGUUACAGCACACUUAGGGUUAUACAAUUCCAUCUUAUUUCAAGGUGUUCUCCACACCUGCGUUUGGGGUUCCAAAGGUGCCCACAGUCCUUGGCUUGUGGAUCUUCCCUCCGUCUUCAGAGCCACAAGCCCAGGGUCCCAGCCCUGUGUCCUGGCGUCUCCUGGUGAUAUAGCUGGAAAGGCCUGAGUCUGCGUACUUAGUGGUUAGCCAGGCCCACGGGGUUGGGCCAGGAUCCCACCCACGCAGAGUCCGGGACCCCACUUCCCAGAGCCCACGUGCGUGACAGUCACGGCUUCCCCGUGUGAGACGUGACAUUGGCAGCAGGAACAGUGCUGUUCUGCCGCCAGGGCCACAAUGAGUGGCAUUUCCUAGACACUGCAGGAUUUAUGGAGGACUAAAGGGUUGUGGAAAUGUUUACAGAGUCCAAGAAAGCGUGAGAGAGGUACAGCGGCCACACCUCGGAAGGUUUGCAACUUGAGAUUAUUUUAGAUUUCCGUGGGGAAUGACGGGCAAUUCAGGCUCCUUGCUGGCAGCCAGAGUAGGAGUCAUUCUUCCUCCUUUGAAUUUUAGAAAAGAUGCGUCCAAAAUAUACAGGGUCAGUGGAGUCUGAGUGUGAGAGGCCUCAGGCAGCGGUGACUCCCCAGGAAGGGGCUAGCGGGGCUGCAGCUGGCGCAGAGCAGGAACCAGUGUCCCCUGCAGGAGCCCCUGGCCACAAGCCAAGGUGCAAGCCCCGGGGACCUCGCCUUGGGGCUCAGUGUUCGAGGCACAAGCCCCAUGCUCGCUGUGGCCUGAGUUCCACCACCCUGGCUCCCCGACUCUGAGCGUCUCCCUGACUGCUGUGGGCCGCAGGCCCGUCCAUCUCCUGCCUGGAUCCCCUCAUCUCAAGGAGCCCGGCCCCCGUACUCAGGGACUCUCCCUCCUCCCAGCCCCUGGGCAUUAUGGACCUGCUUCCUGUCUGCCUGUGGAGUCCCUGCCCUGGACACUGGUGCUAGGAAACCCCACAGCAUGUGGCCUUCCUCCCCUGCCCUGUGCCCAGGCUCCUACAUGUUGCUGCCUAGACCAGCCCUUCUUCCUCUCUGGGGCCGGGCCUGGGUGAGCUCCUCUUGCCUGGAUGCAGGGAGUGUGUAUCCAUCUGUGCACUGCAGGCCUGGGCUGCCUCUCUGGGGUCACUGGUGCAGUUCAGAAAUGCCCCAGGCUGGGGGACCUCUGGGGGACCUUCCUGUGCCCUCCUUCUCCUGAGGGGACUUGGGGCACACAGGUGUCAGGGAGCCUGUCCCCACCCUCCAGUCCAGCACAGAUCUCAUAGAGGACCCUAGGCAGGAGCUUGCAGGGCCACAUGAUGGAAAGUGGCAUCCACCAGUGGCUGCCACCAGAGCUGGGGGCCUAGAGCAGCCCUGAGAUGCUUCACACGGGGCCUAGGGUGACCCUCGAGUACCAGACAUGGGGGGCAGAGAGGGGUUGCUCCAGCUGCCAGGGCUGUGCAUGGGGCCUCUCCCAGCCAUGGCAGAGGGGACACAGCAGCACGGGCCCUGUGGAAGGACAUAGCACACCCUCCAGUGACACUGAUGGGCAGGCAGGGCAGGGGCAGGAGGAGGAAUUCCCCUCAGCCUCCCGGGCUCAGCCUCAGGCCCUGCAUGUCCCCAGCUGUGCUCGUGGAGGCCUGUGGCCACCGGCAGAGUGUGGCUAGCGUGUAUGCGUGUGUAGGCAGGUGUGGGAGGAGGCAGGUGUGCGUGUGUGCUGCCUUGUGAGCAUGAAUGUUUGUGUCUCAGUGAACAUGCCUGUGUGUGCAUGUGUGCGGGAGCCCGUGAUUGUAUGAGCAAGUAAGCACGUGUGUGCAUGUGUAAGCGGGGUAUGAACGUGAAUGUGUGGCUGUGUGAGAGAGUGUGUCAGGGCACAGUUGCAGACAUGCGGUGUGUCCGAAUUGGACCAGCACAGAUCCAGGGAGGCCAGCUGGGAUUCAGGGCCGCAGAAGAGGCGGACAGGGCGGUGACAGGAGGAAGGGGCCAGCGAGCACUGGGAGUCCCUGGGGCCCAGGAGCCCGAGCGGGAGUGGUGUGGGCAGGUCAAGUGUCCCUGUGUCCCUGGCCGCAAGGCAGCACCAUUGUCAUCCUGCAGAUGAAGGCUCC